rnacentral:rRNA from 1 species
UACGAAGGGGGCUAGCGUUGUUCGGAAUUACUGGGCGUAAAGCGCACGUAGGCGGAUUGUUUAGUGAGGGGUGAAAUCCCAGGGCUCAACCCUGGAACUGCCUCUCAUACUGGCAAUCUUGAGUUCGAGAGAGGUGAGUGGAAUUCCGAGUGUAGAGGUGAAAUUCGUAGAUAUUCGGAGGAACACCAGUGGCGAAGGCGGCUCACUGGCUCGAUACUGACGCUGAGGUGCGAAAGCGUGGGGAGCAAACAGG